AAGGUGAGAAAAAUGAAAACAUUAUAUAUGAAAGCCGGUUCUGUUUACAAAAGCUGACCUGGGGACCAUGGGCACUCUCCAUAAACACAUCAAUUACGGAGAACUUCGCUACAUUAGCCUGCGGAUAAGCAAACCUCUCGCGGGAAAAAUAAUCCAAACUCCCAAAAGUCCACCUUAUAAAACUUUGUUAUUUUCAGUUAGAAAGAACACAUUGAAAAGCUUACAGUGAAGUUGGUGAGAUGGCUUUUCUUUGUCUUGGAAUCUACAAGGUAAUAUAGGGGAAGAAAUUCUGCCUUUGAAAUGUAGGCUCUGUAAAUGAUCAGCAGCACAGUAAAGAAUUUCACGGACUGAAUCUCAAGCUCCUGGCAUUUUCCAGGAGAACAGGAGAGAAAAUCUGCCUUGAUGGAGAGAGAUUCCUGAGCAACGAUGAAAACAGCAGUCACUGUCAACACAGCUAAUACUUGCACGGAGCCUCUCAUCCAUGGCGCUCGAAUGACUCACACUUCCAGAUGGCCAUGCUAGCCUUCAUCCAGAUUCCAAU